ensembl:lncRNA
AUUAAAUCAAAUCACAUUUUUAUUUGUCACAUGCUUCGUAAACAACAGGUGAAACUAAGAGUGAAAUGCUUACUUACGGGUCCAUUUUCUAACAAUGCAGUUAAAGUUGUAAUAGAAAAUAUAAUAUUGACACAAGGAAUAAAUACACAGUUAAUAACAAAUAACAAUGACGAGUAAAAAAAACAUGGCUAUAUUAAUAUAGGAAGUACCAGGUAAUAACAUGGCUAUAUUAAUAUAGGAAGUACCAGGUAAUAACAUGGCUAUAUUAAUAUAGGAAUUACCAGGUAAUAACAUGGCUAUAUUAAUAUAGAAAGUACCAGGUAAUAACAUGGCUAUAUUAAUAUAGGAAGUACCAGGUAAUAACAUGGCUACAUACAGGGAGUACCAGGUAAUAACAUGGCUACAUACAGGGAGUACCAGGUAAUAACAUGGCUAUAUACAGGGAGUACCAGUACCGAGUCAAUGUGCAGGGGUAUGAAGUAAUUGAGAUUGCUAGUGUGAAAGUGUGUGUGAGUUAGUUAGUGAGUGAGUGUGUGUGUGUGUGUGUGUGUGUGUGUGUGUGUGUGUGUGUGUGUGUGUGUGUGUGUGUGUGUGUGUGUGUGUGUGUGUGUGUGUGUGUGUGUGUGUGUGUGUGUGUGUGUGUGUGUGGCGUCAGUAUGCAUGUUGUGUGCAUGUUAUGUGUGUGUGGGCAUAUGUGGUGUGUGUGUUGUGGUGUCAGUGUAAGUCUCUGUGAGUGUGUGGGUAGAGUCCAGUGUGUGUGUGCAUAAAGUCGGUGCAUGAGAGUUGGUGCAAAAAGGGUCAAUGCAGGUAGUCUGGGUAGCCAUUUGAUUAGCUAUUUAGCCGUCUUGUUUAGAAGUCUUAUGGCUUGGAGGUAGAAGCUGUUCAGGGUCCUAUUGGUUCCAGACUUAGUGCACUGGUACCACUUGCCAUGUGAUAACAGAAAGAACAGUCUAUGGCUUGGGUGGCUGGAGCCUUUGACCCUUUUUUGGGCCUUCCUUUGACACUGCCUGGUAUAGGGGUCCUGGAUGGCAGUCAGCUCGGACCGAGUGAUGUAUUAGGCCGUACUCAUAACCCUCUGUAGAGGGUUAUUACGGUCGGGUGCAUUAUAGUUGCCGUACCAAGCGGUGAUGCAGCCAGUCAAGAUGCUCUCAAUGGUGCAGC